rnacentral:lncRNA from 1 species
CUGAUCGACCUCCCCCUCUAGGGCGACCCCCAGCUGACUGAACUCUACCCCUAGUUGGCUGGGUAGGUGGUGGUGAAGUAAUUGGUACUGAAGCUGACGGGUGAGUCCUCUGCUGAGAUGAACCUACAAGACGAUGAAGAUACUGCCUCCACAUAUUAACCAUCUCUCCAUACUCAUAGAAUCCCUCGAGCCCUGGGGACCGGGACUAAAGGGAACCCCUAGCACUGGAAUGACUUGAUGCACCUGGCAUAGAUGAGCCCUGAACUUAUGGAUCAUGGGAUGAACUCUGAGCUGGAAGAGCACUAAGUGAUCACUAUCCCUGAUGAGAACUGUGAGAACCAUGACCUGAUGACGCCCCACAAUAACCUGGGCGAGCUGGGUGAUCAUGCCUGGAUAGAC